UGCGUAGGCGGAAUAUUAAGUCAGUGGUGAAAUCCUGCAGCUUAACUGUAGAACUGCCAUUGAUACUGGUAAUCUUGAAUUUAGUUGAGGUGGGCGGAAUGUGUAAUGUAGCGGUGAAAUGCUUAGAUAUUACACAGAACACCGAUUGCGAAGGCAGCUCACUAAACUAACAUUGACGCUGAGGCACGAAAGCGUGGGGAGCGAACAGGAUUAGAUACCCUGGUAGUCC
rnacentral:rRNA from 1 species